UACGUAGGGGGCUAGCGUUGUCCGGAAUCAUUGGGCGUAAAGCGCGCGUAGGCGGCCCGGUAAGUCCGCUGUAAAAGUCAAAGGCUCAACCUUUGAAUGUCAGUGGAUACUGCCGGGCUAGAGUCCGGAAGAGGCGAGUGGAACUCCUGGUGUAGCGGUGGAAUGCGCAGAUAUCAGGAGGAACACCGAUGGCGAAGGCAGGUCUCUGGGCCGAUACUGACGCUGAGGAGCGAAGGCGUGGGGAGCGAACAGG
rnacentral:rRNA from 1 species